UUACUUCCUUCCCUUCUCCAAUUUUUUUUCUCCUUGCAGGGACUCCACCUUUUAGAGCUAAUUCACCGAGAGAAAAUGAGUGGAGAAGGAAAGGUGGUCUGUGUGACAGGAGGGUCUGGUUACAUAGCAUCCUGGCUAAUCAAAUUCUUGCUUCAAAGAGGCUACACUGUCAAAGCCACUGUCCGUGACCCAAAUGAUCCGAAGAAAACUGCACACUUGCUUGCACUUGAGGGAGCCAAGGAAAGACUUCGCUUGCUCAAAGCUGAUUUAUUGGAAGAAGGAUCUUUUGAUGCUGCAGUUUAUGGGUGUGAAGCUGUUUUCCACACAGCCUCCCCUGUAUCCCUUCAAGCCAAUGCCGAUCCUCAGGUUGAACUAGUUGAUCCUGCAGUGAAGGGAACACUUAAUGUUCUUAGAUCUUGUGCAAAAGUGCCUUCUAUCAAGAGAGUGAUUGUAACAUCUUCAUUUGCUGCUGUUCCUUACAGUGGCAAUAAUCUGGCCCCUGAUGUAAUUGUUGAUGAGACUUGGUUUUCUAACCCAGCUGUUUGCGUGGAACAGAAGCUUUGGUAUCAACUUGGAAAAACAUUAGCCGAGCAGGCUGCUUGGGAAUUUGCAAAAGACAACAGGAUGGAUUUGGUUACAAUAAAUCCCGUGUUUGUUGUCGGUCCUCUUUUGCAGCCAACUAUUAAUCAUUCUGUGGAGAUGCUUUUGAACCUCAUAAAUGGAGCUCAAGAGUAUCCAGAUGCAUAUUACAGAUCUGUUGAUGUAAGAGAUGUUGCACAUGCACAUAUUCAGGCUUUGGAGAUUCCUUCAGCUAGUGGCCGAUACUGUUUAAUUGAGAGAGAUCUUCACUUCUCUGAGGUUCUGAAGAUUGUGCAUCAACAUUAUCCUACAUUGCAACUUCCAGAAAAGAGUGGCCCUGGAUUGAAUUACUUAACAAAGUAUGGGAUAUCAAAGGAAAAAGCGAAAACUUUGGGUAUUGACUUCAUUCCUUUGGAGGUGAGUUUGAAGGACACUAUUGAAAGCUUGAAGGAAAAUNNNNNNNNNUGAUUUUGGCUGUUGGAUGGAAAGCAAAUCAAAUAUUACAUAGGCCUUUCAGCUUCAUUGUCUUUAGCUCCCUACUGCAGCAAGAAAUUGUUGCUCUUCAAGAUUGUCUUCAUUUGAAAUAAGUGGACCAAACAUUACUAUUUAUUUAUAAAUGUGU
rnacentral:misc_RNA from 1 species